GUGCUCACUGUGGUAACACAUAUGCUAAAAUUGGAACAAUACAGAGAGAAUUAGCAUGGUCCCUGUGCAGGAUGACGUGCAAAUUUAUGAAGAAUUACAUUCAAUC
ensembl:snRNA U6 U6 spliceosomal RNA